UAAUACGUAGGGUGCGAGCGUUAAUCGGAAUUACUGGGCGUAAAGUGUGCGCAGGCGGCAGAGCAAGUCGAGUGUGAAAGCCCCGGGCUUAACUUGGGAAUUGCGCUCGAAACUACUUUGCUGGAGUGUGGCAGAGGAAGGUGGAAUUCCACGUGUAGCGGUGAAAUGCGUAGAGAUGUGGAGGAACACCAAUGGCGAAGGCAGCCUUCUGGGCCAACACUGACGCUCAUGCACGAAAGCGUGGGGAGCAAACAGGAUUAGAUACCCUGGUAGUCCACGCCCUAAACGAUGACGACUAGUUGUUGGAGGAGUUAAAUCCUUUAGUAACGCAGCUAACGCGCGAAGUCGUCCGCCUGGGGAGUACGGUCGCAAGAUUAAAACUCAAAUGAAUUGACGG
rnacentral:rRNA from 1 species